UCUCUCUCUCAUAGCUAAAGCAAGACCCAGAAUUGGAAGUGAAGAUCAGAUCAUUGUGGCUGGUACAAUGAAGCAACUUCAAUUGCAUGUUUUUUUCCUAUCAAAUAGUACUGUAGGAGUGUGCAACUACUCAAAUUUUGACGUGUUAUUAUGUAAAAAAUUAAACUCUUCAAUAUUUUGUGCUGAAAGUAGUAACUUUUGAAUAUGUUGAAUAUUUAAGACUACUUGAAUACUUAAAGAACAUUUUGUUGUU